rnacentral:rRNA from 1 species
AGUGAACGCUGGCGGUAGGCCUAACACAUGCAAGUCGAACGGCAGCACAGUAAGAGCCUGCUCUUACGGGUGGCGAGUGGCGGACGGGUGAGGAAUACAUCGGAAUCUACUUUUUCGUGGGGGAUAACGUAGGGAAACUUACGCUAAUACCGCAUACGACCUACGGGUGAAAGCAGGGGAUCUUCGGACCUUGCGCGAUUGAAUGAGCCGAUGUCGGAUUAGCUAGUUGGCGGGGUAAAGGCCCACCAAGGCGACGAUCCGUAGCUGGUCUGAGAGGAUGAUCAGCCACACUGGAACUGAGACACGGUCCAGACUCCUACGGGAGGCAGCAGUGGGGAAUAUUGGACAAUGGGCGCAAGCCUGAUCCAGCCAUACCGCGUGAGUGAAGAAGGCCUUCGGGUUGUAAAGCCCUUUUGUUGGGAAAGAAAAGCAGCAGGUUAAUACCCCGCUGUUCUGACGGUACCCAAAGAAUAAGCACCGGCUAACUUCGUG